rnacentral:rRNA from 1 species
UGGCGAACGGGUGAGUAAUACAUCGGAACGUGUCCUGUAGUGGGGGAUAGCCCGGCGAAAGCCGGAUUAAUACCGCAUACGACCUAAGGGAGAAAGCGGGGGAUCUUCGGACCUCGCGCUAUAGGGGCGGCCGAUGGCAGAUUAGCUAGUUGGUGGGGUAAAGGCCUACCAAGGCGACGAUCUGUAGCUGGUCUGAGAGGACGACCAGCCACACUGGGACUGAGACACGGCCCAGACUCCUACGGGAGGCAGCAGUGGGGAGUUUUGGACAAUGGGCGCAAGCCUGAUCCAGCAAUGCCGCGUGUGUGAAGAAGGCCUUCGGGUUGUAAAGCACUUUUGUCCGGAAAGAAAACCUCGUGGCUAAUAUCCGUGAGGGAUGACGGUACCGGAAGAAUAAGCACCGGCUAACUACGUGCCAGCAGCCGCGGUAAUACGUAGGGUGCGAGCGUUAAUCGGAAUUACUGGGCGUAAAGCGUGCGCAGGCGGUUUGUUAAGACCGAUGUGAAAUCCCCGGGCUCAACCUGGGAACUGCAUUGGUGACUGGCAGGCUUUGAGUAUGGCAGAGGGGGGUAGAAUUCCACGUGUAGCAGUGAAAUGCNUAGAGAUGUGGAGGAAUACCNAUGGCGAAGGCAGUCCCCUGGGCCAAUACUGACGCUCAUGCACGAAAGCGUGGGGGAGCAAACAGGAUUAGAUACCCUGGUAGUCCACGCCCUAAACGAUGUCAACUAGUUGUUGGGGAUUCAUUUCCUUAGUAACGUAGCUAACGCGUGAAGUUGACCGCCUGGGGAGUACGGUCGCAAGAUUAAAACUCAAAGGAAUUGACGGGGACCCGCACAAGCGGUGGAUGAUGUGGAUUAAUUCGAUGCAACGCGAAAAACCUUACCUACCCUUGACAUGGGUCGGAACCCUGCUGAAAGGUGGGGGUGCUCGAAAGAGAACCGGCGCACAGGUGCUGCAUGGCUGUCGUCAGCUCGUGUCGUGAGAUGUUGGGUUAAGUCCCGCAACGAGCGCAACCCUUGUCCUUAGUUGCUACGCAAGAGCACGCUAAGGAGACUGCCGGUGACAAACUGGAGGAAGGUGGGGAUGACGUCAAGUCCUCAUGGCCCUUAU